rnacentral:rRNA from 1 species
CCUACGGGCGGCUGCAGUCGAGAAUCUUCGGCAAUGGGCGCAAGCCUGACCGAGCGACGCCGCGUGGAGGACGAAGGCCUUCGGGUUGUAAACUCCUGUCGAGGGGGAAGAAGCCGCAAGGUUGACUGAUCCCUGGAGGAAGCACGGGCUAAGUUCGUGCCAGCAGCCGCGGUAAGACGAACCGUGCGAACGUUAUUCGGAAUCACUGGGCUUAAAGCGCGUGUAGGCGGGACGGCACGUCGGCCGUUGAAAUCCCCCGGCUCAACCGGGGAAGCGGCGCCGAUACGACCGUCCUGGAGGGGCGUAGGGGGACCUGGAACUUCCGGUGGAGCGGUGAAAUGCGUUGAGAUCGGAAGGAACGCCCGUGGCGAAAGCGAGGUCCUGGACGCCUACUGACGCUGAGACGCGAAAGCCAGGGGAGCGAACGGGAUUAGAUACCCUAGUAGUC